AGUUCAUCCGACCAUCUGGACCAGGAGUAAAGAGCUGAAAUUGCUCCAAGAUACGAUACUAUUUUCAGAGCCGAUCGAUAUUAGAUCCAGACAAGAAAGAAACUUUCAUCUCUAGAUCCAAAAGAGAAUCAUCAGUCAGAUUCUCCGAUCAACUAUCUCAAGAAGUUAAAGCCUUUGUCUUCUUAUCCUUACUCGCCAUUGAAAAUGAUAGAACCUAGAAGAAAAAAAGAGGAAAA
rnacentral:lncRNA from 1 species